rnacentral:rRNA from 1 species
GACGAACGCUGGCGGCGUGCUUAACACAUGCAAGUCGAACGGAAAGGCCCUGCUUUUGUGGGGUGCUCGAGUGGCGAACGGGUGAGUAACACGUGAGUAACCUGCCCUUGACUUUGGGAUAACUUCAGGAAACUGGGGCUAAUACCGGAUAGGAGCUCCUGCUGCAUGGUGGGGGUUGGAAAGUUUCGGCGGUUGGGGAUGGACUCGCGGCUUAUCAGCUUGUUGGUGGGGUAGUGGCUUACCAAGGCUUUGACGGGUAGCCGGCCUGAGAGGGUGACCGGGGAAAGGGGGAGUGAGUGGAGGAGGGGAAGGAGACGGGAGGAAGCAGGGGGGAGUGGUGGAAAAUGGGCGGAAGGAGGAAGAAGGAAGGGGGAGGGGGGGAUGAAGGGUGGAGGGUAGUAAAAAGAGAGCGAGGGUGAAGAUGGGUGAGGGAAGGGAAGGGAUAAAGAGGAAAGGGCGAAAUAAGUG